AAGCGGGGACUUGAAGACAUAUUUGCACACCUGUGUUCACCACAGCAUGACUCACAACAGCCGAGAGGCGGAAGCAAACCAUGUUUCCGUCGACAAGUAGAUGGACACACACGUCGCGGUGUAUCCCACGCAGGUCCAGCCUCAGAAAGGAAGGGACCCUGACCCCUGCCAUGAUGCGGAGGGACCCCGAGGACACAGGGCUCAGCGAGAGCGGCCAGGCCCAGAAGGUCUCAUCCCGCAGGACCCCACUCCCGGGAGGGCCCCAGAGGAGUGUCGUCCACACAGACAGCAGAGGAGAGAGACAGCGAGAGUGGGAACACAGCAGGGGGAGAGGGAGAAGCAGGCCCUCUGCCGAGCAAGGAGCCCUAUGCUGGGUCGAUCCCAGAAUCCUGGGAUCAUGACCAGAGCCCAAGGCAGAUGCCUAACGACUGAGCCCCCCAGGCGCCCCUAAAGCGAUUUUACUUAUUUAUUUAUUUGAGAGUGAGUAAGCAGGAGGCAGGGAGAGGCAGAGGAUCCCAAGCAGACUCCACGCCAGCGUGGAGCCCGACGUGCGACCCCUGAGGCUGGAGAGAUUCCACGGAAAGAAUGAAACAGUUGUCAGAAGGAGACUGGCAAAGAUGAUGCAGAGGUCUCUUCCUGGUCCAGCCUCAUCCUUACCAGCCUGUACCAGCAGCAGAGUCGCCUCUAUCCUGAUCCCACUCAGCGCCACCACGGUGUCCAUCUUCCCUGCAGCAGCAGCCAGCAGAGGGCGCCUGCGGGCCUCUGAGUCGGGUUCCACCUUCUGUGUCUACAGCCCUCCAGGGCUCCCACCCCUUUGGGUGAAAGCCAAACCCUCCCUGAGGCUCCCAAGACCCUACAGGACCUACCUGGGCCCCUCCCUGCCCGCCCUUCCUACUUCUCUCCCCCUUGCUCACUGUGCUCCACCCAGAGGGGCCCCCUCACGCUUUCUCCAACACUCCAGGUCCAGUCCUGCCCCAGGACCUUUGCACUGGCUCUUUCUGCUACUAGAAUGCUCUUCUGCUAGAUAUACUCGUGCCUGGCUUGCUUCCUCAGAGAACCCUUCCCUAUUCCCAAGGAUAGACUGUGUCCAAGGAUAGACUGUAUUUUUAAUUAUUUAUGUUUAUUAUCUGUGUGUCUCCACUAAGGAAGCCAGCCCCUGGGCACCUGGGUGGCUCAGUCAUUAAGCGUCUGCCUUCGGCUCGGGUCAUGAUCUCAGGGUCCUAAGAUCGAGCCCAGGAUUGGGUUCCCUGCUCCAAGGGAAGCCUGCUUCUCCCUCUCCCACUCCCCCUGCUUGUGUUCCCUCUCACGCUGUGUCUCUCUGUCAAAUAAAUAAAUGAAUAAAAUCUUAAAAAGAGAGUGAGAGAAAGCAAGCCAGCUCCCUGAGGGCAUGGAUUUGUGUCCCUAGCACCCAGCUCAGCAGGUGCUUAAUAAAUGUUGGUUGAAUUAAAAACCGGCUCCACUCUGUUCAUCCA